rnacentral:rRNA from 1 species
UACGAAGGGGGCUAGCGUUGCUCGGAAUGACUGGGCGUAAAGCGCGUGUAGGCGGUCUCGCAAGUCAGGCGUGAAAGCCCCGGGCUCAACCUGGGAACCGCGCUUGAGACUGGAGAACUAGAGUUCGGGAGAGGAUGGUGGAAUUCCCAGUGUAGAGGUGAAAUUCGUAGAUAUUGGGAAGAACACCGAUGGCGAAGGCAGCCAUCUGGACCGACACUGACGCUGAGGCGCGAAAGCGUGGGGAGCAAACAGG